UCCCUGGAGGACUAGUGGUUAGGCCUUGGCACUCUCACUGCCAUGGCUCAGGUUCAAUUCCCACCCAGGAAA